rnacentral:lncRNA from 12 species
CCCGCUCCCGCUCCUAUUCCCCGUCCCGGUCCCGGUCCCAGCGGCCCCAGAGCGCUGCCGCAGGAAGGAGCGCAGGGACUCCGCGGGGACACUGAGGGGACAGGAGGGGACACGGCAGGGUGGCACUUUGGGGACAGGGACACUCUGGGGACAGGGACAGACACGCUCCUGAUCCCGCUCCUAUUCCCACUCUUGUUCCCAUUCCUGGUCCCGUCCCGCUCCUAUUCCCAGUUCUGUUCCCAGUCCCAGCGGUGCCAGGAGCGCAGGGACUCUGCGGGGACAGCAGGGGACAGCCGGGGACACGGCAGGGUGGCACUCUGGGGACAGGGACACUCUGGGGACAGGGACACUCCUGGUCCCAUUCCUAUUCCUGGUCCCGCUCCUAUUCCCGUUCCUGUUCCCGUUCCUGUUCCCGGUCCCGUUCCUAUUCCCAGUUCUGUUCCCGUUCCCAGGAGCGCAGGGACUCUGCGGGGACAGGGACAGGGAUGUCCUUGGGGCGGCACUUUGGGGACAAGCCAGAGUCACCUUGAGCACAGCGGUGACCCAGAGGGGACAGGAACAGAGACCCUGCCCUGUGUCCCCAAGGUCCCCAAUGUCCCCAAUCCCCCCUGUGUCCCCAAUGUCCCCAGUGUCCCCAAUGUCCCCAAUCCCCCCAGUGUCCCCAGUGUCCCCAGUGUCCCCAGUGUCCCCAGUGUCCCCCCAGUGUCCCCAGUGUCCCCCCAGUGUCCCCAGUGUCCUCAGUGUCCCCAGUGUCACCUGUUCUCUUGUCAUAGUCACUCUCGGCCAUCUCGUACUUGGGCACUUGGCUCAGAUCCUCGAACUGCCCGGCGCGGGCACCGCUCCUGUCGGUCACCUGCCACAGGGACAGAGGGACAGAGGGACACACAGGUGAGACAGAGGGGACAGGUGUGACACACAGGGACAGGGACACAGGUGAGACAGGUGAGGCAGAGGGGACACAGGGGACACGGGACAGGUGUGACACACAGGGAUGGGGACACUCAGGGGACACAGGGGACACUCAGGGACACACAGGUGACACAGGUGACACACAGGUGACAAUGAGGUGACACAGGUGACGCACAGGUGACAUUAAUGUCACUCACGUGCAGGCGGCAGCUGUCGCUGACCGGGUACCAGUGACAUUAAUGACACAGGUGACGUUAAUGACACACAGGUGAUGUUAAUGACACACAGGUGACACACAGGUAACACAGGUGACACACAGGUGACACAGGUGACACAGGGGGGGGGGGGGGGGGGGGGGGGGGGGGGGGGGGGGGGGGGGGGGGGGGGGGGGGGGGGG